rnacentral:rRNA from 1 species
GACGAACGCUGGCGGCGUGCUUAACUCAUGCAAGUCGAACGGAAAGGCCCCUUUGGGGGUACUCGAGUGGCGAACGGGUGAGUAACACGCGAGUAACCUGCCCUCGACUUCGGGAUAACUUCAGGAAACUGGGGCUAAUACCGGAUAGGAAUCCUUGCUGCAUGGUGGGGGUUGGAAAGCUUCGGCGGUUUUGGAUGGACUCGCGGCUUAUCAGGUUGUUGGUGGGGUAGUGGCUUACCAAGGCUUUGACGGGUAGCCGGCCUGAGAGGGGGAGCGGCCAAAUUGGGACUGAGGUACGGCCCAGACGCCUACGGGAGGCAGCAGUGGGGAAUGUUGCACAAUGGGCGGAAGCCUGAUGCAGCAACGCCGCGGGCGGGAUGACGGCCUUCGGGUUGUAAACCGCUUUCAGCAGGGGAGAAGCUUGUGGUGACGGUACCUGCAGAAGAAGCACCGGCUAACUACGUG